rnacentral:rRNA from 1 species
AAGUCGAACGCACAGCGAAAGGUGCUUGCACCUUUCAAGUGAGUGGCGAACGGCUGAGUAACACGUGGACAACCUGCCUCAAGGCUGGGGAUAACAUUUGGAAACAGAUGCUAAUACCGAAUAAAACUUAGUGUCGCAUGACACAAAGUUAAAAGGCGCUUCGGCGUCACCUAGAGAUGGAUCCGCGGUGCAUUAGUUAGUUGGUGGGGUAAAGGCCUACCAAGACAAUGAUGCAUAGCCGAGUUGAGAGACUGAUCGGCCACAUUGGGACUGAGACACGGCCCAAACUCCUACGGGAGGCUGCAGUAGGGAAUCUUCCACAAUGGGCGAAAGCCUGAUGGAGCAACGCCGCGUGUGUGAUGAAGGCUUUCGGGUCGUAAAGCACUGUUGUAUGGGAAGAACAGCUAGAAUAGGAAAUGAUUUUAGUUUGACGGUACCAUACCAGAAAGGGACGGCUAAAUACGUGCCAGCAGCCGCGGUAAUACGUAUGUCCCGAGCGUUAUCCGGAUUUAUUGGGCGUAAAGCGAGCGCAGACGGUUUAUUAAGUCUGAUGUGAAAGCCCGGAGCUCAACUCCGGAAUGGCAUUGGAAACUGGUUAACUUGAGUGCAGUAGAGGUAAGUGGAACUCCAUGUGUAGCGGUGGAAUGCGUAGAUAUAUGGAAGAACACCAGUGGCGAAGGCGGCUUACUGGACUGCAACUGACGUUGAGGCUCGAAAGUGUGGGUAGCAAACAGGAUUAGAUACCCUGGUAGUCCACACCGUAAACGAUGAACACUAGGUGUUAGGAGGUUUCCGCCUCUUAGUGCCGAAGCUAACGCAUUAAGUGUUCCGCCUGGGGAGUACGACCGCA